AUUGAACGCUGGCGGCAUGCCUUACACAUGCAAGUCGAACGGUAACAGGUCUUCGGAUGCUGACGAGUGGCGAACGGGUGAGUAAUACAUCGGAACGUGCCUAGUAGUGGGGGAUAACUACUCGAAAGAGUGGCUAAUACCGCAUGAGAUCUACGGAUGAAAGCAGGGGAUCGCAAGACCUUGUGCUACUAGAGCGGCCGAUGGCAGCUUAGGUAGUUGGUGGGAUAAAAGCUUACCAAGCCGACGAUCUGUAGCUGGUCUGAGAGGACGAUCAGCCACACGGGGACUGAGACAAGGACCAGACUCCUACGGGAGGCAGCAGUGGGGAAUUUUGGCCAAUGGGCGCAAGCCUGAUCCAGCAAUGCCGCGUGCAGGAUGAAGGCCUUCGGGUUGUAAACUGCUUUUGUACGGAACGAAAAGCCCUGGGUUAAUACCCUGGGGUCAUGACGGUACCGUAAGAAUAAGCACCGGCUAACUACGUGCCAGCCGCCGCGGUAAUAC
rnacentral:rRNA from 1 species